GAUUCACUUGCCUUAAGGCUCUUUUAAAAUUUCAGACAAAAAAAUAAAAAGGGCUCUUUUAAAUGCACUUUACUUAAAGUUCAUAUCUUCAGGGGGCAACAGGAGGAGGACGAGGAAUAGGGAGGCUUCAGGUGUUCUUGUUUAGCGGGCGUGAUUGUUCCUUUCAGAUUUUUGUUUUUUCUAGUUGGCUUGAGAAAAUGAAUAUAUCUGAUGAGAACAAUCCUAACAUUGUCAAACCCACAAGUUUUCAAGGUAGAGAAGUGAAAUCAAUCAUGAGCAGUCUGGUUAUAUAUAUAGCUGUUAAACCUCAGGAUCUGACAUGGGUUAUUUUGUUUUCCUUGGAUUUUAUAGGAGGGCUUGAGAUGGGUAGCAGAAAGUUUGGGCAGGAGAUUAGGCACAACAGAAGAGUUUUAAAUGUGUUAAAUCAGAAUUUUAUUGGAGCAAAAGCAUAUCCUUGUGCUGUUAACAAGAGAGGGUUGUCAGAAAAUCAUGGAGUCUCCGAAAGAAACCCACUUCAUCCUUCACAUCGACCGAUUACAAGGUUAGAAUUCGCUUUCUCUUUCUUUUGUUUGGCUGAUGAGAGCAAAGAAAGAAAUAAAAAAAACUAUAAAGAUUCAAAUAUUUGAAUCUCUAGAUCUCUUCAUGUGGCGGAGAUAGAAAACAAUGCCUGCAGCUUAACUUAGCUAAUGAUUGAGUUUGAGACAAAGUAUUUUACUCUUCAGCAGUUAAAAUAGUAUAUAGCAUAAAAGUUUUUAACUCAUUUUAGCAAACUAGUAGUGGAGGGUUCUAAAAAACUUUUCUCAUCAAAAGUUUAUUUUCAAAUUCUUAUAGUUAUGUUUGAAUUUGCCACUUUAGGAAGUUUGCUGCACAAUUGUCAAGUACACAUCAGCACUGUCCACAGGAGGCUAAGAAGCAGAAAAGCACAAAUAAAUUUGGAGACUGCAUAUUCAUAGAUGUCGAAGAAAAUAUGGCACCUGCAGACCACCCAGUACCAAUGUUUUUAGAACAAACAGAAGCUAUCCUUGAUGAAAUGGAUCGGAUGGAGGAGGUUGAAAUGGAGGACAUAAUUGAAGAACCCAUUUUGGAUAUCGAUGGCUGUGAUGUAAAGAAUCCACUUGCAGCUGUUGAUUAUGUUGAAGACAUGUAUGCCUACUACAGAAAAAUGGAGAGUUUUAGCUGUGUUUCCCCAAACUAUAUGGCACAGCAAAUUGACAUUAAUGAGAAGAUGAGAGCUAUACUCAUUGACUGGCUUAUUGAGGUGCAUGACAAGUUUGAACUCAUGAAAGAAACAUUAUUUCUUACGAUUAAUCUUAUCGAUAGGUUUCUAUCACAGCAAACGGUGGUAAGAAAGAAGCUUCAAUUGGUUGGAUUGGUUGCUAUGCUCUUAGCUUGCAAGUAUGAGGAGGUUUCUGUUCCAGUGGUAGGAGAUCUAAUUCUUAUAUCAGAUAAAGCCUACACUAGGAAAGAUGUUCUUGAAAUGGAAAAUUUGAUGGUGAACAGAUUACAGUUUAAUAUGUCACUACCAACGCCAUAUGUUUUCAUGCAAAGGUUCCUCAAGGCUGCUCAAUGUGAUAAGAAGAUUGAGCUACUGUCCUUCUUUUUGAUUGAGCUUUCUAUCGUGGAGUAUGAAAUGCUCAAGUUCCCGCCAUCUCUAUUGGCGGCCACGGCAAUCUAUACUGCACAGUGCACUAUCUAUGGAUUCAAGCAGUGGAGUAGGAUCAGUAAGUGGCACAGCAACUAUUCGGAAGAUCAACUUUUAGAAUGUUCCAGACUAAUGGUUGGUUUCCACCAGAGGGCAGGGACAGGGAAACUAACUGCAGUACACAGGAAAUACAAUACAUCCAAGUUUGACUAUACUUCAAAAUGUGAACCAGCACAUUUUUUGUUAGAGGCUAAAAAAUAGCAGGGAAAUGUGUACAGCUACUGACUAUUACUUGAUUGGGGUUGGUGGAUUUAUGCGCAAUAAUCAGCAACUUUGGUUGCGACUUGGGAAUUGAUAUUGGGAAUUGUUUAAUACCUUACAAGCCAUGGUUGAGAUCCUAUGUUCUGUUCCAUUUUAACACAUUUCCUCACUGUAAUCUUUUUCCCUAUUCAAUUGAAAUCAAUAAUUUCACGAC
rnacentral:misc_RNA from 1 species